UCUGUGACGUCAGAUUUGUCGAGAAACGAUCCUCUCACUUCCUCUGAGAAACGCCGAAGAAGUACGGUGAAAGGGAGUGCUGAUUCUCGAGCGCAGAUUGUUGUAGGGUUUACAAGUGAUGGAUUGACGUUGACUCGGAGGUAUCGAAGAAGAGCAUUUCUCGCCGCCAUCGCUUAUGUUGCAGUGGAUGAUAGACAACCCUAGAAUCCUUCUCUCGACGGAGAUUUCAGAUUUGCUUAUUUGUUAGAUUCCAAACGACGUCGUCGCUUAUGUACUGGGCUAUUUUUCUCGUUAGGCCCAUUAAUACUGGGCUCAUGUAUCUUUUUUUUCCGCUCUGAGCUUUGUUUGCAAACUAGAUUUUUUUGUCAACUGUUUCCAAAAAAAUAAAAAAUGAUUUUUAAUAAUUAAAAAGUUAAAAUGUGAUUUCUUUAGAGAAAAUAGUCAAAUAAUUACUGAUACAUAUUUUAACCAAAAAUCAUGAACUCUUCGUUAAUCCGAAAACAUAUGAACUUGUGUUGACCGAGCCUUAUAUAUAGGUAAAACUUUAGUCAACAUUACAUUUCACUUAACCAACAUUUAUUCUUUUUAGGAGAAUUAAAACGACGUUGUUUUGCUAAAAUAAGAAAAACUAAAAAAACACUGUAAAAAGUAUUAAAAUUACACAUUUUUGCUAAAAUGUCUGCAAUUUUCAUUGAUCCAAAAAUAUAAACUUAUUUUGGUUGAGCCAAAUUAUAUAUAAACAAAGAAUCCAAAAUCUGAACCGAAAACAAGUUUAUAUUUUUGGAUCAGUGAAACCUUCAUGCUUUUUAGCACAAAUGUAUAAGUUUAAUAUUUUACAGCGACUUUUUAAAAAAAAAAAUUAUUUUAGCAAAAUGACGUCGUUUUAAUUUCCGUUAAAAAAUAAAUGUCGGUUAAGUAAAAAAUAAUUUUGAAUAUAUUUAUACCUAAUUUGGCUCUGUCAACACAAGUUCAUAUGUUUUUGGAUUAAUGAAGAGUUUGUAUUUUUUGGCAAAAGUGUGUAAAUUCAAUAUUUAUUUGACCGUUUUCUUGAUUUCUUUAUGUAAGUAUUAGGUAAAAUACAUAUGUGGGGGUUUUUUAAUCCUAAUUUUACUGACAAUCAUCUAAAUUAAUACAAUUGUAUAUGAUUAGCAAGUGCCAUUGCAUGUUUCUGGUGGAACUCGAAUCCUCCAAAACAGUGGCAGAGGCAGAAAAUAUUUAUGUUGGGGCAUAUAUAUUAGACCAAAAUAUGAUAUUAAGUAAAAUACUAAGUGGGCUUAGAUACAAUAUUAUUUUAUGUAUUUUUAAAUGGGUUUAAAAAAAGGAAUGGGGCAAAAAAAAUUUAUGAGUGGGGACAUCAUAUAGAUUGGGCUUUAUGUUAUACUAUUUCUUUUGAUCUUGUUGGGUUCAAAGCCCCCAUGUUGUUAGCCACUGCUCCAAAACGAGGAUUGCACUAGGCAAAGUGGGAAAAACAUUGUUGCCUGAAAGGGGAAGUAAGUAUCAGAUUCAAAUUGAUCAAUGAAUUUAACCUAGAUUUAUUGGCAAAACAACUAUGGAGAUUAAUCCAAUUCCAGAGUUUGUUCUUACAAGAGUGCUACGUGGAAUAUAUUAUCGACUAGGCUCGCCUUUGCGAGCGAUUGAUUCAGCCUCUCCUUCUUUAUGUAUGGACAAGUUUGAUGGCAUCUGAGGCUUUAUUAAUGUUGGGGAUCAAUCAGAAAGUACACUCGGGUACCAAAUACGUGUUUGGGAGGAUCUUUCGAUCCCAUCAGUUCCUACUAAGCCAGUUCGGUCAAUUGCUCCAGUGGUUCACCCACAAAUGACAGUGAUAGAAUUUAUUCAUGGUUCUCCAAAAGAGUGGAAUACAGAAACGUCGGAAAACUUCAUUGUUCAGGAGGACAUACCAUCAUUCUGAGUUUGACCAUAAGCCAAUCUAAUAGGGAGGACAAGUGUAGGUGGAGCUAUACAAAGAGUGGGGUACAUACACAGUCAAAUCUGGAAACUGGGUAGCGAAGAAUAUACUCUGUCGAGAGCACGAAGUUAUAGUUUCAGAGCCCAGUGUUACUAAGUUAAAAUAUUUUCCUUGGAAAAUCCGUGCUCCACAGAAAAGACGACAUAUAAUAUGGCAAUUGGUUUCUGGUUACUUAGCAGUCACGAGGAAUCUCAGCCGACACCAUAUGCGUUGUGACAACCACUGUCUCAAAUGUGGAUAGAAUCAGAUGAAUCAGUUAACCAUGCCAUUUUCAAAUGCUGUCAUGCGUUGCAAACUUGGACUCUCGCCUCAACACCAUUGUGUCCGAGUAUAUUUCCAAUAACCAGUGUGUAUUCCAACUUGGAUUAUUUGUUCUAGAGGAAGAACAAAAUUGAAGAUCUAGAGCUUGAUAGAGAUAUUUAGCCAUGGAUUAUUUGGUUUCUUUGGAAAACUUGAUGUACUCAGAUUUUACCACUAAAACCAACCGCCAGUGCACGCUAGUGCGCGGUAGUAUAUAGGGAUCAAAUUCCUUAGAGACAAAAGUUACACUAUAAAUCAGAAUCAAGGUAGAAAGAAAAUAGUUUGUUGUUAUUGUUUCAAUUGCGAUAAAUGUAAAUGACAUAAUGUAAAUGAAGUUAAACUUAUGGAUUAAAAAUGCUAGGCAAUGGAAAACUCUCAGGAAAACAUCAAUCAUAAAAUGAACAGUAAACAAGUAAUUUGUCUCAACUCUCAGGAACUCAAAUCAUAGCGACAAGAUCAAUCAACUUUCGUUGCAAAUACUAUUGAUGUUUAAAUCCUAGAAUCCCAAAUUUCUGUGGAUUCAAACAAUUGAGACAUGCAUUAAAUUCAGCUUGAUAUGUUCACUAAAUCCCUAAACUAAAUUUCUUUGCAGAUAGGUAUUUAGAUCAUCAAUAUUAAUUCAAUCAAUUAAUAAUACUUUCACAUUACCAAUAAUCCUAUGAUCUAGAUUUUAGAUUAUCCAUCUUGAUCUAGCAUUAAAAAUAAUCAAGAUUGAAUAAUAAAAGAUAAGCCAUGACAAUUUAUUCUAACAAUUAAUUCAAUCCUCUUAAAAACCCUAAAUUUAACAUGUGAUUUACUUAGACGUGAUCAAAGAAGACAUAUUCAUAUUCUGAAUAAAUUGCAUAAAUAGAUUUAAGUAAAAAAUAUUGUAGUUUGAAAUAUUGUAGUUUGACCAGUCUCCGAAGAAAUUCUUACUUGUCUCCAAAUUUAAGAUAAAGAUUAGCCUAAACAAUGAUUUAUUAUAAGUAUAUAUAGGUAUAAUGAUCAUUAGUUGACGUUUCUAUGUAUUGUUUAAACAAUAUGUGGAGCUUUGAGUAGGAAAGACACAAUGUCAAUAGCUAAAUUCAUACUAUUUGACGUAGAGUUGCUUUUUUUUUUUUUUUUUGACAACAUUGGUACAUAGUUGUAAGCCUAGUUCCAUGUAACAUCAGAAGACUUAGAGUCUAGGCAUCAUAUUGGCAUGGCCAAAGAAAUAUCAAAACAGAAGUAGCGCUUGUUGUUUAUAUCUUAACAAAUAUGAAUCAAUGUUAAAGCUCACACCACAACAUUCAAAGAAAAAUGUAGCUUUAUCUACUAAAUCCCAUUUAAAUCAAAUAUUGUCAUGAACUAAUUAAAUCUAGUAAUGCAUUCUCUAACCAUCAUCCCAACAAGCAGAUCACUAACGAAUCUCCAAUGUCGUCGCAAUACAAACCAGAAAAUGAGAGUGGAAAUGGAUCGAAUACCUUUGAGGGAUCGACUCUUUGGAAGUUCUUGACGACAGUGAUUACGCGAUCUGUGACGUCAGAUUUGUCGAGAAACGAUCCUCUCACUUCCUCUGAGAAACGCCGAAGAAGUACGGUGAAAGGGAGUGCUGAUUCUCGAGCGCAGAUUGUUGUAGGGUUUACAAGUGAUGGAUUGACGUUGACUCGGAGGUAUCGAAGAAGAGCAUUUCUCGCCGCCAUCGCUUAUGUUGCAGUGGAUGAUAGACAACCCUAGAAUCCUUCUCUCGACGGAGAUUUCAG
rnacentral:lncRNA from 1 species